UACGAAGGGGGCUAGCGUUGCUCGGAAUGACUGGGCGUAAAGGGCGCGUAGGCGGUUCGUACAGUCAGACGUGAAAUUCCCGGGCUCAACCUGGGGGCUGCGUUUGAUACGUGCGGGCUUGAGUUCGGAAGAGGGUCGUGGAAUUCCCAGUGUAGAGGUGAAAUGCGUAGAUAUCUGGAGGAACACCGGUGGCGAAGGCGACAUCCUGGACCAACACUGACGCUGAGUGAGCGAAAGCCAGGGGAGCAAACGGG
rnacentral:rRNA from 1 species